ACAACCAGUCCCUCGCCCGCAGCAAGGUGGAAGCUGGAGGCUGGGAGUUGGGAGGAUGUGGCCCUUCUAAGGAGUUUGUGUGAGGGUAUGCAGCUCCUAGGGGAGAGAGGCUUUGAUGCCUGGGUGAUGCCUCCUCUACUCCCCCCUCCCCAGGGCCUACAAAAAGAUCGAGCUGGAGGAUCUCAGGUUUCCUCUGGUCUGUGGGGAGGGCAAAAAGGCUCGGGUGAUGGCCACCAUUGGGGUGACCCGAGGCUUGGGAGACCACAACCUUAAGGUCUGCAGUUCCACCCUGCCCAUCAAGCCCUUUCUCUCCUGCUUCCCUGAGGUACAAGUGUAUGACCUGACACAAUAUGAGCACUGCCCAGAUGAUGUGCUAGUCCUGGGAACAGAUGGCCUGUGGGAUGUCACUACUGACUGUGAGGUAGCCGCCACUGUGGACAGGGUGCUGUCAGCCUAUGAGCCCAAUGACCACAGCAGCCCCACCAUGGCUGCAAUCCGAAAGAAGCUGGUGAUCGUUGGGGAUGGUGCCUGUGGGAAGACCUGUCUCCUCAUCGUCUUCAGCAAGGAUCAGUUUCCGGAGGUCUACGUCCCUACUGUCUUUGAGAACUAUAUUGCGGACAUUGAGGUGGACGGCAAGCAGGUGGAGCUGGCUCUGUGGGACACAGCAGGGCAGGAAGACUAUGAUCGACUGCGGCCUCUCUCCUACCCGGACACUGAUGUCAUCCUCAUGUGCUUCUCCAUCGACAGCCCCGACAGCCUGGAAAACAUUCCUGAGAAGUGGACCCCAGAGGUGAAGCACUUCUGCCC
rnacentral:sRNA from 1 species